GCUCCCUUGGUAUUCAGCUGCCUCUCUGGAGCCCUGUCUGAACAUGGCCAUACUGGAAUUAAGCCUUCAACAUGUGAUUCUUCAGGGCUGCUUCAGAUCUAAACCAUAAAGAUGAAAUGAAUCAGCGUGGUUCUGGGAAUGGAAGGCCCAUCUCAGGAUUGUUGCCAACAGCAUGAGAAGAGAAGUGGAAGAGAAGAUGGUCUGAAGUUUAAAUCCAGGGAGAGACAAACUGCGCAAUAUGUCCCAGGAGGGCAGCUUUCUUGGA